AGUUUCCAGUGGCCAGGGGUACGCGCGGCCGGAGGGGCGCCGGGGCCGUACUCACCGCGGCCGUUCUGGUUGGGCCGGUACACGCUGCCCACGCUGAGGCGGCCCUGCUGCGCGCCGUUCCGCUCCCCACCCGGCGGGGGCGUGUCGGAGCUGCGCACCGGCAGGAGCUCCUGCCUGCCUGGAUGAAGAGGAGGUCAAGACUUUGUCCCCCACUCCGCAAGAUACCCUCUCUGUUCCGGAGCGGUGGGUCCCUCCCCUGUUAGGACCUUGUCUCCCUCAGGACUGGACCUGGAUCCUGGGCCUGCAGUCAGAUUGCCAGUUUCACUUAGAGGUGGAAAUGUCAACCCACUGGUUGGAAUGGGAAGGUGAGACAGGAUUUCACCAUGUUAGCCAGGAUGGUCUUGAUCUCCUGACCUCAUGAUCUGCCCACCUCGGCCUCCCAAAGUGCUGGGCUUACAGGCGUGAGCCACCGUGCCCGGCCAAAAAUAACUUUUAAAAACAUGAGUAUAGCAUACACACACACAAAAGUCCACAAAUCCUAGGUGUACCACUUGAUGAAUGAUCCCAACGUGAGCACACCUCUGGAUU
rnacentral:lncRNA from 10 species